rnacentral:rRNA from 1 species
AUUGAACGCUGGCGGCAGGCCUAACACAUGCAAGUCGAGCGGAUGAAGGGAGCUUGCUCCUGGAUUCAGCGGCGGACGGGUGAGUAAUGCCUAGGAAUCUGCCUGGUAGUGGGGGAUAACGUCCGGAAACGGGCGCUAAUACCGCAUACGUCCUGAGGGAGACAGUGGGGGAUCUUCGGACCUCACGCUAUCACAUGAGCCUAGGUCGGAUUAGCUAGUUGGUGGGGUAAAGGCCUACCAAGGCGACGAUCCGUAACUGGUCUGAGAGGAUGAUCAGUCACACUGGAACUGAGACACGGGCCAUACUCCUACGGGAGGCAGCAGUGGGGAAUAUUGGACAAUGGGCGAAAGCCUGAUCCAGCCAUGCCGCGUGUGUGAAGAAGGUCUUCGGAUUGUAAAGCACUUUAAGUUGGGAGGAAGGGCAGUAAGUUAAUACCUUGCUGUUUUGACGUUACCAACAGAAUAAGCACCGGCUAACUUCGUG